UACGUAGGGUGCGAGCGUUAAUCGGAAUUACUGGGCGUAAAGCGUGCGCAGGCGGUUAUGCAAGACAGAUGUGAAAUCCCCGGGCUUAACCUGGGAAUGGCAUUUGUGACUGCAUAGCUAGAGUGUGUCAGAGGGAGGUAGAAUUCCACGUGUAGCAGUGAAAUGCGUAGAUAUGUGGAGGAAUACCGAGUGCGUAGGCAGCCUUCUGGGAUAACACUGACGCUCAUGCACGAAAGCGUGGGGAGCAAACAGG
rnacentral:rRNA from 1 species